GAUGAACGCUGGCGGCGUGCCUAAUACAUGCAAGUCGAGCGAAUGGAUUAAGAGCUUGCUCUUAUGAAGUUAGCGGCGGACGGGUGAGUAACACGUGGGUAACCUGCCCAUAAGACUGGGAUAACUCCGGGAAACCGGGGCUAAUACCGGAUAACAUUUUGAACCGCAUGGUUCGAAAUUGAAAGGCGGCUUAGGCUGUCACUUAGGGAUGGACUCGCGUCGCAUUAGCUAGUUGGUGAGGUAACGGCUCACCAAGGCAACGAUGCGGAGACGACCUGAGAGGGUGAUCGGCCACACUGGGACUAAGACACGGCCCAGACUCCUACGGGAGGCAGCAGUAGGGAAUCUUCCGCAAUGGACGAAAGUCUGACGGAGCAACGCCGCGUGAGUGAUGAAGGCUUUCGGGUCGUAAAACUCUGUUGUUAGGGAAGAACAAGUGCUAGUUGAAUAAGCUGACACCUUGACGGUACCUAACCAGAAAGCCACGGCUAACUACGUGCCAGCAGCCGCAGUAA
rnacentral:rRNA from 1 species